CUGUUAGUAUAGUUGAAGGAUUUGGAAAAUUCCGCUAAAGAGGGUGAAAGCCCCGUAGACGAAAUGCUAACAACACCUAGGAGGAUCCUGAGUACGGCGGAACACGAGAAAUUCCGUCGGAAUCCGCGGGGACCAUCCCGCAAGGCUAAAUACUCCCUAGUGACCGAUAGUGAACCAGUACCGUGAGGGAAAGGUGAAAAGCACCCCGGAAGGGGAGUGAAAUAGAUCCUGAAACCGUGUGCCUACAACAAGUCAAAGCUCGUUAAUGAGUGAUGGCGUGCCUUUUGUAGAAUGAACCGGCGAGUUACGAUUGCAUGCGAGGUUAAGUCGAAGAGACGGAGCCGCAGCGAAAGCGAGUCUGAAUAGGGCGAAUGAGUAUGUAGUCGUAGACCCGAAACCAUGUGAUCUACCCAUGUCCAGGUUGAAGGUGCGGUAAAACGCACUGGAGGACCGAACCCACGUACGUUGAAAAGUGCGGGGAUGAGGUGUGGGUAGCGGAGAAAUUCCAAACGAACUUGGAGAUAGCUGGUUCUCUCCGAAAUAGCUUUAGGGCUAGCCUCGGAAUUGAGAAUGAUGGAGGUAGAGCACUGUUUGGACUAGGGGCCCAUCUCGGGUUACCGAAUUCAGAUAAACUCCGAAUGCCAUUCAUUCAUAUCCGGGAGUCAGACUGUGAGUGAUAAGAUCCAUAGUCGAAAGGGAAACAGCCCAGACCACCAGCUAAGGUCCCCAAAUAACUAUUAAGUGGAAAAGGAUGUGGGGUUGCACAGACAACUAGGAUGUUGGCUUAGAAGCAGCCACCAUUUAAAGAGUGCGUAAUAGCUCACUAGUCGAGUGACCCUGCGCCGAAAAUGUACCGGGGCUAAAUAGUUUACCGAAGCUGUGGAGUGCACCAUCAGGUGCAUUGGUAGGAGAGCGUUCUAAGGGCGUUGAAGGUAGAUCGUGAGGACUACUGGAGCGCUUAGAAGUGAGAAUGCCGGUAUGAGUAGCGAAAGACAGGUGAGAAUCCUGUCCACCGAAUGACUAAGGUUUCCUGGGGAAGGCUCGUCCGCCCAGGGUUAGUCGGGACCUAAGCCGAGGCCGACAGGCGUAGGCGAUGGACAACAGGUUGAUAUUCCUGUACCCGUUGUUUUUGUUUGAGCAAUGGAGGGACGCAGGAGGCUAAGAAGUGCAGACUGAUGGAUAUGUCUGUUCAAGCAGUAAGUCUUGGUAGGAGUCAAAUGCUUCUACCUAUACGGACAAGCUGUGAUGAGGAGGGAAAUAAUAGUACCGAAGCUUCUGAUGUCACACUGCCAAGAAAAGCUUCUAGUGAGAAAACAACGGCCCGUACCGCAAACCGACACAGGUAGUCGAGGAGAGAAUCCUAAGGUGAGCGAGAGAACUCUCGUUAAGGAACUCGGCAAAAUGACCCCGUAACUUCGGGAGAAGGGGUGCUGCUCUAACGAGCAGCCGCAGUGAAUAGGCCCAAGCGACUGUUUAUCAAAAACACAGGUCUCUGCAAAAUCGAAAGAUGACGUAUAGGGGCUGACGCCUGCCCGGUGCUGGAAGGUUAAGAGGAGUGCUUAGCGUAAGCGAAGGUA
rnacentral:rRNA from 1 species